rnacentral:rRNA from 1 species
UCUAAUACCGGAUACUGAUCCGUYUGGGCAUCCAGACGGUUCGAAAGCUCCGGCGGUGCAGGAUGAGCCCGCGGCCUAUCAGCUUGUUGGUAAGGUAGUGGCUCACCAAGGCGACGACGGG